ensembl:snRNA U6 U6 spliceosomal RNA
GUACUCAUUUCAGCAGCACAUAUGCUAAAAUUUGAACCAUACAAAGAAGAUUAGCAUGGCCCCUGCACAAGGAUGACAUGAAAAUUUUUGAAGCUUUCCAUGUUUUU